GCUGGGUGUGGUGGUGCAUGCCUGUAAUCCCAGCUACUCAGGAGGCUGAGGCAUGAGAAUUGCUUGAACCCAGGAGGCAGAGAUUGCAGUGAGCCGAGAUCGUGCCACUGCACUCCAGCCUGGGUGACAGAGUGAGACUCUGUCUCAA
rnacentral:SRP_RNA from 1 species